rnacentral:lncRNA from 1 species
UUUUGAUGAUCAUUAAGAAGUUGGAGCAGCUCCUUGUAGCCUUUGCUCCAUAUCAUUUUCCCAAUAAAAUAGGCACCUUUGGUAAAGGCAAUCUCUCCAUUUUGUUGUUGCUCCCUUUUUUUCUUGCCAAUCUCAAGGAACUUUGGAUUAACUCCAUGAACGUUACAGACGAUGGACCCAGGGUAAUCCUGAGUGGCAGCAGAGAGUCUGAUUACCUGCAAUCAUACAGCUAAUCAGUUCAGACAGAGCAAGCGCAUGCAAUGGUUGCAACAAGUUCAUGAAAGCGGUAAAUAUUAUUACUACUUUGACUCUAUUUAAUAACAUGUAUCCUAAAACACUGUUUAAUUUUACAAUGACACUUUUGAGAAUGCACUGAUCUUUUUUUGAGAUCAAGAAGAUUAAUUUCAUUUAACUAAAUUUCUUAAUAGGUGUGAAGUUAGUUAUUUUUACUAAUCAAGAUCGGAAGGAGUAUUUUCACAACUAAUCAUAAGAACAAAGCUUCAUUUCCCACUGCGGUGAUAUUUAUGAAUACAACUUGAGAAUGUAAAGCUCCCACCUCAAGAAAAAACUCAUGUUAUCUUUAGAUAAGGUGUUAGUUUUACCCACACAGAUGAAUACACCAAAAAACGUUAUGUAUAUUGCACACUCUUCAAUCCUUUUAUAUAUAUGGGAGUUAGGAGAUUACAUUGUUCAAUAACCUUGUAUGAAAUACAUAGUCAUUGGAUUGCAUACUUUUGUCUCGAUCAUGAAC